rnacentral:rRNA from 1 species
GGUCAUUACGUGCCAGGCACUGGUGUAAUUCGGCGGGGCCGGAGGGUGUCUGGAAUGAUUGGGGUGAAAGUGGGUGCAGGCCUGAAGCAAAGCAGGCCGGGAAAUGUGGAUGCUAGACGUCUGAAGUUCGGCGCGAACUGGUUUUCUCGAGUGCAUACGAGGUAGGUGGAAUUUGUGGUGUAGCGGUGAAAUGAUUAGAUAUCACGAAGAACUCCGAUUGCGAAGGCAGCCUACCAGGAUGUAACUGACGCUAAAGCUCGAAAGUGCGGGUAUCGAACAGGAUUAGAUACCCGAGUAGUC